rnacentral:rRNA from 1 species
GAUGAACGCUGGCGGCGUGCUUAACACAUGCAAGUCGAACGAAGCACUUAAGAUUGAUUUUUCGGAUGACGUCUUUUGUGACUUAGUGGCGGACGGGCGAGUAACGCGUGGGUAACCUGCCUCACACAGGGGGAUAACAGUCAGAAAUGACUGCUAAUACCGCAUAACCCGAUCGGAUCGCAUGAUCCAGACGGAAAAGGUUUAUCGGUGUGAGAUGGACCCGCGUCUGAUUAGCUAGUUGGUGAGGUAACGGCCCACCAGGGCGACGAUCAGUAGCCGGCCUGAGAGGGAGGGCGGCCACACUGGGAGUGGGACACAGCCGGAACUCCUACGGGAAGGGGCAAUGGGGAAUAUAGCAAAAUGGGGGGAGCCCUGAAGCAGCGAGGCCGCGAGAGUGAAGAAGUAUGGCGGUAAGUAAAGCUCGAUAAGCAGAGAAGAAGAUGACGGUACCUGAAUAAGAAGCCCCGGCUAACUACGUG